CCUACGGGAGGCAGCAGUGGGGAAUAUUGCGCAAUGGGGGAAACCCUGACGCAGCAACGCCGCGUGAGUGAGGAAGGACUUCGGUCUGUAAAGCUCUGUUAAUGAGGAAAAUGGUAGUUGGUCUAAUAGGCCGAUUAUUUGAUGGUACUCAUAGAGGAAGCACCGGCUAACUUCGUGCCAGCAGCCGCGGUAAUACGAAGGGUGCAAGCGUUGUUCGGAUUUAUUGGGCGUAAAGCGCGCGUAGGCGGACCUGCAAGUAAGAUGUGAAAUCUCGAGGCUCAACCUCGAAACUGCGUCUUAAACUACAGGUCUAGAAUCUCGGAGGGGAAGGGAAUUUCGCAUGUAGGGGUAAAAUCCGUAGAUAUGCGAAGGAACACCAGAGGCGAAGGCGCCUUCCUGGACGAGUAUUGACGCUGAGGCGCGAAAGCGUGGGGAUCAAACAGGAUUAGAUACCCUGGUAGUCCACGCUGUAAACGAUGAACACUAGGUAUUGGAGGAUUUGACCCCUUCAGUGCCGUAGCUAACGCGUUAAGUGUUCCGCCUGGGAAGUACGGUCGCAAGACUAAAACUUAAAGGAAUUGACGGCNGAGAGNGCGAGACGACACGAGGAGAG
rnacentral:rRNA from 1 species